AGCGAACGCUGGCGGCAGGCCUAACACAUGCAAGUCGAACGAAGUCUUCGGACUUAGUGGAGGACGGGUGAGUAACACGUGGGAACGUGCCUUUAGGUUCGGAAUAACUCAGGGAAACUUGUGCUAAUACCGAAUGUGCCCUUCGGGGGAAAGAUUUAUCGCCUUUAGAGCGGCCCGCGUCUGAUUAGCUAGUUGGUGAGGUAAAGGCUCACCAAGGCUACGAUCAGUAGCUGGUCUGAGAGGAUGACCAGCCACAUUGGGACUGAGACACGGCCCAAACUCCUACGGGAGGCAGCAGUGGGGAAUCUUGCGCAAUGGGCGAAAGCCUGACGCAGCCAUGCCGCGUGGAUGAUGAGGGUCUUAGGAUUGUAAAAUCCUUUCACCGGUGAAGAUAAUGACUGUAGCCGGAGAAGAAGCCCCGGCUAACUUCGUGCCAGCCGCCGCCGUAAAAC
rnacentral:rRNA from 1 species